rnacentral:rRNA from 1 species
GGAGAGUGUUUGAGGAGGGAUCUGCGGCCCAUCAGCUAGUUGGUGAGGUAACGGCUCACCAAGGCGAAGACGGGUAGGGGGUGUGAGAGCAUGGCCCCCCACAAUGGGACUGAGACACGGCCCAUACUCCUACGGGAGGCAGCAGCGGGGAAUAUUGCGCAAUGGACGGAAGUCAGACGCAGCGACGCCGCGUGGGUGAGGAAGGCCUUCGGGUUGUAAAGCCCUUUUCAGGGGAGCGAGAAAGGACGGUACCCUUGGAAUAAGCGUCGGCUAACUACGUGCCAGCAGCCGCGGUAAGACGUAGGACGCAAGCGUUAUCCGGAUUUACUGGGCGUAAAGCGCCUGUAGGCGGUCAAGUAAGUCGGAUGUGAAAGCCCCGUGCUCAACGCGGGGAAGCCAUUCGAUACUGCGUGACUAGAGAACGGCAGAGGGAAACGGAAUUUCUGGUGUAGCGGUAAAAUGCGCAGAGAUCAGAAAGAACACCGAUGGCGAAGGCAGUUUCCUAGGCCGCAUCUGACGCUGAGAGGCGAAAGCUAGGGGAGCAAACAGGAUUAGAGACCCUGGUAGUCCUAGCUGUAAACGAUGGAUGCUAGGUGUGGGCCGGAAAGGUCCGUGCCGUAGUUAACGCGAUAAGCAUCCCGCCUGGGGAGUACGGCCGCAAGGCUAAAACUCAAACGAAUUGACGGGGACCCGCACAAGCAGCGGAGCGUGUGGUUUAAUUCGAUGCUACACGCAGAACCUUACCUGGGCUUGACAUGUAGGUGGUAGUGAAGUGAAAGCGGAGCGACCCUUCGGGGAGCCUACACAGGUGCUGCAUGGCUGUCGUCAGCUCGUGCCGUGAGGUGUCGGGUUAAGUCCCGUAACGAGCGCAACCCUUGUCCUUAGUUACAAGUGUCUAAGGAGACUGCCGGUGACAAACCGGAGGAAGGUGGGGAUGACGUCAAGUCAGCAUGGCCCUUAUGUCCAGGGCGACACACACGCUACAAUGGUCGGUACAAUGGGCAGCGCAGCCGCGAGG